AACGGUCUAUACCUGCGGUACCUGCGGAGGGAUCAUUAGUGAACGCCCUCACGGGCUUAUAACUAUUCCAAACCUCUGUGAACCGUGCCCUUCGGGGCUAUUUUACAAACAUGGUGUAAAGAACGUCAUAUAUCAUAACAAAACAAAACUUUCAACAACGGAUCUCU
rnacentral:misc_RNA from 1 species